rnacentral:tRNA from 1 species
GGUGAGGUGUCCGAGUGGCUGAAGGAGCACGCCUGGAAAGUGUGUAUACGGCAACGUAUCGGGGGUUCGACGAAUCCCCCCCUCACCGCCA